rnacentral:rRNA from 1 species
UACGGGGGGGGCAAGCGUUGUUCGGAAUUACUGGGCGUAAAGGGCUCGUAGGCGGCCAACUAAGUCCGACGUGAAAUCCCCAGGCUUAACCUGGGAACUGCGUCGGAUACUGGAUGGCUUGAAUUCGGGAGAGGGAUGCAGAAUUCCAGGUGUAGCGGUGAAAUGCGUAGAUAUCGUAAGGAAGACCAGUGGCGAAGGCGGGUCUCUGGACAGUUCCUGACGCUGAGGCACGAAGGUCAGGGGAGCAAACGGG